rnacentral:rRNA from 1 species
GGUUAAGCGACUAAGCGUACACGGUGGAUGCCCUGGCAGUCAGAGGCGAUGAAGGACGUGCUAAUCUGCGAAAAGCGUCGGUAAGGUGAUAUGAACCGUUAUAACCGGCGAUGUCCGAAUGGGGAAACCCAGUGCAAUUCGUUGCACUAUCGUUAACUGAAUACAUAGGUUAACGAGGCGAACCGGGGGAACUGAAACAUCUAAGUACCCCGAGGAAAAGAAAUCAACCGAGAUUCCCCCAGUAGCGGCGAGCGAACGGGGAGCAGCCCAGAGUCUGAAUCAGCUUGUGUGUUAGUGGAACGGUCUGGAAAGUCCGACGGUACAGGGUGAUAGUCCCGUACACCAAAAUGCACAGGUUGUGAACUCGAAGAGUAGGGCGGGACACGUGGUAUCCUGUCUGAAUAUGGGGGGACCAUCCUCCAAGGCUAAAUACUCCUGACUGACCGAUAGUGAACCAGUACCGUGAGGGAAAGGCGAAAAGAACCCCGGCGAGGGGAGUGAAAAAGAACCUGAAACCGUGUACGUACAAGCAGUGGGAGCACCUUCGGGUGUGACUGCGUACCUUUUGUAUAAUGGGUCAGCGACUUAUAUUCUGUAGCAAGGUUAACCGUAUAGGGGAGCCGCAGGGAAACCGAGUCUUAACUGGGCGUUAAGUUGCAGGGUAUAGACCCGAAACCCGGUGAUCUAGCCAUGGGCAGGUUGAAGGUUGGGUAACACUAACUGGAGGACCGAACCGACUAAUGUUGAAAAAUUAGCGGAUGACUUGUGGCUGGGGGUGAAAGGCCAAUCAAACCGGGAGAUAGCUGGUUCUCCCCGAAAGCUAUUUAGGUAGCGCCUCGUGAACUCAUCUUCGGGGGUAGAGCACUGUUUCGGCUAGGGGGUCAUCCCGACUUACCAACCCGAUGCAAACUACGAAUACCGAAGAAUGUUAUCACGGGAGACACACGGCGGGUGCUAACGUCCGUCGUGAAGAGGGAAACAACCCAGACCGCCAGCUAAGGUCCCAAAGUCAUGGUUAAGUGGGAAACGAUGUGGGAAGGCACAGACAGCCAGGAUGUUGGCUUAGAAGCAGCCAUCAUUUAAAGAAAGCGUAAUAGCUCACUGGUCGAGUCGGCCUGCGCGGAAGAUGUAACGGGGCUAAACCAUGCACCGAAGCUGCGGCAGCGACACUAUGUGUUGUUGGGUAGGGGAGCGUUCUGUAAGCCUGCGAAGGUGUGCUGUGAGGCAUGCUGGAGGUAUCAGAAGUGCGAAUGCUGACAUAAGUAACGAUAAAGCGGGUGAAAAGCCCGCUCGCCGGAAGACCAAGGGUUCCUGUCCAACGUUAAUCGGGGCAGGGUGAGUCGACCCCUAAGGCGAGGCCGAAAGGCGUAGUCGAUGGGAAACAGGUUAAUAUUCCUGUACUUGGUGUUACUGCGAAGGGGGGACGGAGAAGGCUAUGUUAGCCGGGCGACGGUUGUCCCGGUUUAAGCAUGUAGGCUGAUUGUCCAGGCAAAUCCGGAUAAUCAAGGCUGAGGUGUGAUGACGAGGCACUACGGUGCUGAAGUAACAAAUGCCCUGCUUCCAGGAAAAGCCUCUAAGCAUCAGGUAACAUCAAAUCGUACCCCAAACCGACACAGGUGGUCAGGUAGAGAAUACCAAGGCGCUUGAGAGAACUCGGGUGAAGGAACUAGGCAAAAUGGUGCCGUAACUUCGGGAGAAGGCACGCUGGUGUGUAGGUGAAGUCCCUGCGGAUGGAGCUGAGACCAGUCGAAGAUACCAGCUGGCUGCAACUGUUUAUUAAAAACACAGCACUGUGCAAACACGAAAGUGGACGUAUACGGUGUGACGCCUGCCCGGUGCCGGAAGGUUAAUUGAUGGGGUUAUCCGUAAGGAGAAGCUCUUGAUCGAAGCCCCGGUAAACGGCGGCCGUAACUAUAACGGUCCUAAGGUAGCGAAAUUCCUUGUCGGGUAAGUUCCGACCUGCACGAAUGGCGUAAUGAUGGCCAGGCUGUCUCCACCCGAGACUCAGUGAAAUUGAACUCGCUGUGAAGAUGCAGUGUACCCGCGGCAAGACGGAAAGACCCCGUGAACCUUUACUAUAGCUUGACACUGAACAUUGAGCCUUGAUGUGUAGGAUAGGUGGGAGGCUUUGAAGCGUGGACGCCAGUCUGCGUGGAGCCAACCUUGAAAUACCACCCUUUAAUGUUUGAUGUUCUAACGUUGGCCCCUGACCGGGGUUGCGGACAGUGUCUGGUGGGUAGUUUGACUGGGGCGGUCUCCUCCCAAAGCGUAACGGAGGAGCACGAAGGUUAGCUAAUCCUGGUCGGACAUCAGGAGGUUAGUGCAAUGGCAUAAGCUAGCUUGACUGCGAGCGUGACGGCGCGAGCAGGUGCGAAAGCAGGUCAUAGUGAUCCGGUGGUUCUGAAUGGAAGGGCCAUCGCUCAACGGAUAAAAGGUACUCCGGGGAUAACAGGCUGAUACCGCCCAAGAGUUCAUAUCGACGGCGGUGUUUGGCACCUCGAUGUCGGCUCAUCACAUCCUGGGGCUGAAGUAGGUCCCAAGGGUAUGGCUGUUCGCCAUUUAAAGUGGUACGCGAGCUGGGUUUAGAACGUCGUGAGACAGUUCGGUCCCUAUCUGCCGUGGGCGCUGGAGAAUUGAGGGGGGCUGCUCCUAGUACGAGAGGACCGGAGUGGACGCAUCACUGGUGUUCGGGUUGUCAUGCCAAUGGCACUGCCCGGUAGCUAAAUGCGGAAGAGAUAAGUGCUGAAAGCAUCUAAGCACGAAACUUGCCCCGAGAUGAGUUCUCCCUGAGACUA